rnacentral:rRNA from 1 species
CCAAUAGCGUAUAUUAAAGUUGUUGCAGUUAAAAAGCUCGUAGUUGAAUUUCGGGAUCAGUUCGUCGGUCGUGCCUUUGGUAUGUACUGGUGUUACUGGUUCCUCCCUUCUGACGAACCGUCAUGUCAUUAAUUUGGUGUGGCGGGAAAUCAGGACUGUUACUUUGAAAAAAUUAGAGUGUUUAAAGCAGGCUCGCGCUUGAAUACAUUAGCAUGGAAUAAUGAAAUAGGACGUUCGAUCCUAUUUUGUUGGUUUCUAGGAUUGACGUAAUGAUUAAUAGGGAUAGUUGGGGGCAUUAGUAUUCAAUUGUCAGAGGUGAAAUUCUUGGAUUUAUUGAAGACUAACUACUGCGAAAGCAUUUGCCAAGGAUGUUUUCAUUAAUCAAGAACGAAAGUUAGGGGAUCGAAGACGAUCAGAUACCGUCGUAGUCUUAACCAUAAACUAUGCCGACUAGGGAUCGGAUGAUGUUAAUUUUUUAAUGACUCAUUCGGCGCCUUACG